rnacentral:tRNA from 1 species
AAGAUCUUAAGUUAAGUAAAACUAAGGGUCUUCAAAACCCUAAAUGGGAUACCCCAGAUCUUG